UACGAAGGGGGCUAGCGUUGCUCGGAAUCACUGGGCGUAAAGGGUGCGUAGGCGGGUUUUUAAGUCAGGGGUGAAAUCCUGGAGCUCAACUCCAGAACUGCCUUUGAUACUGAAGAUCUUGAGUCCGGGAGAGGUGAGUGGAACUGCGAGUGUAGAGGUGAAAUUCGUAGAUAUCAGGAAGAACACCCGUGGCGAAGGCGGCUCUCUGGGACGUGACUGACGCUGAGGAGCGAAAGCGUGGGGAGCGAACAGG
rnacentral:rRNA from 1 species